CUGAGCAAAAUGCUAAAUAUCUUUCUUUGCAGAUUCUUCAGGGAGUGGAGAGCAAGCAUUCCCACGGGUUGACACGCAGGUCUCUCAUCAUGUUGAGUCCAGCCUUUCAUUCACUGGCGACGAACUCAAAAAUCGAAAACUUGAUAUUUUGAGUCUACGCCAGCUCUCCUGAAGCCUACCAGCCUGGCAUUGCCAACAGUUCCCUGGUGUUCUGGCCGGGCUCUCGGACCUCCUGGACCACCUCUGAGACGGAACUCCUGGAUCCCUCGCCUGCCCUGCUUCUCCUGUGUGGUCCACACAGUGCUUCCUGGAGCACUCUCCACUCCUCUCAGCCGUUCAAGCUAAAGGCUUUCUAGCUGCCUCGACUCUGUCCUGUCUCACCUACCAUCAGCCAGCCUGGCAGUGUCAUGACAUGUGCAAGGGGGCAUUACAGUCCCACUACCUGGAUUUGAAUCCUAGCUCCUCUGAGUGUGAGCCGUGUGACACUGGCCAAAUUACUCCUUCAUGCCUUGAUUUUCUCACCUGUAUCAUGGGGUUUAAAACGCCCCUUAUUUUUAUAAGGUUGCCUAGCUCGGAUUUUGGGUACUGCUCAACUGGACUGUUAAAAUAGCCUUCAGGCUGGUUUCUCUGUAGCCAGGCUCUCCCUCCUUAACCCAGCCCUCCUCGCUUCACCUCUCCUGCCUAAAAAACCUUUGACUCCCCAUUGCACUCAAGCAUAACCAUUGAGUCAGGCAAAGGCUUCAUAAUCUUCUGCCAACUGAUGU